rfam:Nitratiruptor tergarcus DSM 16512 genome assembly, contig: NitteDRAFT_scaffold1.1
CGCUCAGACCCGUGCGACGGACAGUUGCGGCAAAGCUUCAGGGCGGGAACGCAGCAGAGCACCGCAGCUGUCCGGGCGCCGCGGGUAUCUGGGUGGGG